rnacentral:rRNA from 1 species
UACGUAGGAGGCAAGCGUUAUCCGGAUUUACUGGGCGUAAAGAGGGCGUAGGCGGUUCUUCAAGUCAGAUGUAAAAUCUCCCAGCUUAACUGGGAGGGACCAUUUGAUACUGUUGGGCUAGAGGGCAACAGGGGGAGGUAGAAUUCCCGGUGUAGUGGUGGAAUGCGUAGAUAUCGGGAGGAAUACCAGUAGCGAAGGCGGCCUCCUGGGUUGUUGCUGACGCUGAGGCCCGAAAGCGUGGGGAGCGAACAGGAUUAGAUACCCGCGUA